rnacentral:sRNA from 1 species
GAUAUGGUUGUUGCUCUGUCGAUGUUUCCCCUUCAGGUCCUUCUCUCCUGUUUCUUUCGUCACUCGUUUAUGAAGUGACACUGCCAAUCGUUUGAUGAUCUAUGAUCAUAUCCUAUAUACUUGAUAUUUUUAAUUUAAUUUAAUUUCCCUGACCAUCUUGGUCUCCACCAUUGGUCACAAUGAAGGUUGCGUUUGGCUCUGCGUUGCUGUCGGCUUUUGCCUUGCAGCGUGCUUCCGCUACUUUCAACUUCCCCGGGUUUCCCGGGUUCCCAGGUUUCCCCGGGUUUCCAGGCUUCCCAGGCUUCCCAGGCUUCCCAGGUUCCCCAGACCCUAAUUAUCCCGUUGAGCCAACACCUACGGAUUAUCCCGUUGAGCCUACACCCACAGAUUAUCCUGUCGAGCCUACACCCACGGAUUAUCCCGUUGAGCCUACACCCACGGAUUAUCCUGUAGAGCCCACUCCGACAGAUUAUCCCGUUGAGCCUACACCCACGGAUUAUCCCGUUGAGCCAACACCCACAGAUUAUCCUGUCGAGCCUACACCCACAGAUUAUCCUGUCGAGCCUACACCCACAGAUUAUCCUGUCGAGCCUACACCCACAGAUUAUCCUGUCGAGCCUACACCCACAGAUUAUCCUGUCGAGCCAACACCUACGGAUUAUCCUGUAGAGCCCACUCCAACAGAUUAUCCCGUUGAGCCUACACCCACAGAUUAUCCCGUUGAGCCUACACCCACGGAUUAUCCCGUUGAGCCUACACCCACGGAUUAUCCUGUAGAGCCCACUCCGACAGAUUAUCCCGUUGAGCCUACACCCACGGAUUAUCCCGUUGAGCCUACACCCACGGAUUAUCCUGUAGAGCCCACUCCGACAGAUUAUCCCGUUGAGCCUACACCCACGGAUUAUCCCGUUGAGCCAACACCCACAGAUUAUCCUGUCGAGCCUACACCCACAGAUUAUCCUGUCGAGCCAACACCAACGGAUUAUCCUGUCGAGCCCACUCCGACAGAUUAUCCCGUCAGCCCAGAACCUACUCCCACAGAUUAUCCUGUAGAGCCCACUCCAACAGAUUAUCCCGUUGAGCCAACACCUACGGAUUAUCCCGUUGAGCCUACACCCACAGAUUAUCCUGUAGAGCCAACACCUACGGAUUAUCCUGUAGAGCCCACUCCAACAGAUUAUCCCGUCAGCCCAGAACCUACUCCCACGGAUUAUCCCGUCGAGCCAACACCCACGGAUUAUCCCGUUGAGCCUACACCCACAGAUUAUCCUGUAGAGCCCACUCCGACAGAUUAUCCCGUCAGCCCAGAACCUACUCCCACGGAUUAUCCAGUCGAGCCAACACCAACGGAUUAUCCUGUCGAGCCCACUCCGACAGAUUAUCCCAUCAGCCCAGAACCGACUCCCACAGAUUACCCUGUGACCCCCGAGCCUACACCCACGGAUUAUCCUGUCUCCCCCGCUCCUACCGAUGCCACGGAUUAUCCUGUCUCCCCUGCUCCUACCGAUGCCACGGAUUAUCCUGUGAGCCCCGCUCCUACCGAUGCCACGGAUUAUCCUGUGAGCCCUGCUCCUACCGAUGCCACGGAUUAUCCUGUCUCCCCUGCUCCUACCGAUGCCACGGAUUAUCCUGUCUCCCCUGCUCCUACCGAUGCCACGGAUUAUCCUGUCUCCCCUGCUCCUACCGAUGCUACGGAUUAUCCUGUCUCCCCUGCUCCUACCGAUGCCACGGAUUAUCCUGUCUCCCCUGCUCCUACCGAUGCCACGGAUUAUCCUGUGAGCCCCGCUCCUACCGAUGCCACGGAUUAUCCUGUCUCCCCUGCUCCUACCGAUGCCACGGAUUAUCCUGUCUCCCCUGCUCCUACCGAUGCUACGGAUUAUCCUGUCUCCCCUGCUCCUACCGAUGCCUAUCCUGUGUCGACCAUCACUGCAGCACCGAGUUACACUACCUCUACCAUCUACACAACAAUCUGUGAGACAGUCACCAGUUGUCCUCCUUCAGUUGUAUCAUGCCCAGCUGGCGGAUAUCCUGUUGUUGUCACGAGGACCGUUGCUAUAGCAACAACGGUCUGUCCAGUAGAGGCAGAGGCAACAGCCCCCCCACAAUCUACCUACACUACCUCCACCGUUUAUACAACGACCUAUGAGACUGUCACCAGCUGCCCUCCUUCUGUCCCAUCAUGCCCAGCUGGCGGAUAUUCCACUGUUAUCACGAAGACCAUUCCUAUCUCAACAACGGUCUACUUGGUGGAAACAGAACCAACAACUCCACCUAAUCCGACCCUCCCAAAUCAAGGUUAUGAUACGGCUAUCCCAGCUACUCCAUAUACCUUGAGCACUGCCAUCUACCCAACUGCCACGGUUGGUUCUGAGUCUCCCACGUACUCUGGAGCUGCAGAGCCAUCGGCUAGAGGCUCGACAGCCUUUAUUGCAGCCUUCCUGCUGCUCUCAGGCUUAACGCAGCUCUAGAUAAUGAUGGUAAGCGGAGAAAUGAAUGGCCUGACCAUUACAUUUCAGUGAAUGUACUUAAAGCUACUGCACGUCGUAUUUUUGGAAUCUCUUUCUUUCCUUUACUCUUAAUUCUAUUUCUUUCUUUCCUAAUUCCUGAAAUUACGUGAAAUUUGCGAAUCUUCAUAAUAGGACACAUUCACUUUGGUUGAGUGCAACAAGUUGGAGAAAUAUAGAAAUAUUUAUAUUGUAAAUACCUGCUUCGCGACGGCUAAGCCAACCCAUGCUUUUUUGUUAUAAUGUUAAAGAGCAAGUAAGGCGCUUUAGUUAGGAAGCUUAAUUUAAAAUUGCCCUAUACCGUCGCAAAACAGCCUUGACAGAUUUGACCUUGCGAAUAUACAGCGUACUAUAACUGUCCAAAUUUAUCAAGUGAGGUUUGAGAAAGUUUGGGGGAAGAGGAUUGAACUUGAGAAGCUACUAUGUAUGUUCAUUAACUAUUUCUAAGGAUACUGUCAGGGAUAGCUUCACAUAAGAUGAAAAGGAAG